rnacentral:rRNA from 1 species
AGCAGCCGCGGUAAUUCCAGCUCCAAUAGCGUAUAUUAAAGUUGUUGCAGUUAAAAAGCUCGUAGUUGAAUUUCGGGGUUAGUAAGUUGGUCAUGCCUUCGGUAUGUACUGGCUUUACUGAUUCCUCCUUCUUGACGAACCGUGAUGUCAUUAAUUUGGUGUUGCGGGAAAUCAGGACUGUUACUUUGAAAAAAUUAGAGUGUUUAAAGCAGGCUAACGCUUGAAUACAUUAGCAUGGAAUAAUGAAAUAGGACGUUAAUCCUAUUUUGUUGGUUUCUAGGAUCGACGUAAUGAUUAAUAGGGAUAGUUGGGGGCAUUAGUAUUCAAUUGUCAGAGGUGAAAUUCUUGGAUUUAUUGAAGACUAACUACUGCGAAAGCAUUUGCCAAGGAUGUUUUCAUUAAUCAAGAACGAAAGUUAGGGGAUCGAAGACGAUCAGAUACCGUCGUAGUCUUAACCAUAAACUAUGCCGACUAGGGAUCGGAUGAUGUUAAUUCUUUAAUGACUCA